rnacentral:rRNA from 1 species
GGACGAACGCUGGCGGCGUGCUUAACACAUGCAAGUCGAACGGAAAGGCCCUGCUUUUGUGGGGUGCUCGAGUGGCGAACGGGUGAGUAACACGUGAGUAACCUGCCCUUGACUUUGGGAUAACUUCAGGAAACUGGGGCUAAUACCGGGUAGGAGCUCCUGCUGCAUGGUGGGGGUUGGAAAGUUUCGGCGGUUGGGGAUGGACUCGCGGCUUAUCAGCUUGUUGGUGGGGUAGUGGCUUACCAAGGCUUUGACGGGUAGCCGGCCUGAGAGGGUGACCGGCCACAUUGGGACUGAGAUACGGCCCAGACUCCUACGGGAGGCAGCAGUGGGGAAUAUGGCACAAUGGGCGGAAGCCUGAUGCAGCAACGCCGCGUGCGGGAUGACGGCCUUCGGGUUGUAAACCGCUUUCGCCUGUGACGAAGCGUGAGUGACGGUAAUGGGUAAAGAAGCACCGGCGAACUACGU